rnacentral:rRNA from 1 species
UACGAAGGGUGCAAGCGUUACUCGGAAUUACUGGGCGUAAAGCGUGCGUAGGCGGUUCGUUAAGUCUGAUGUGAAAGCCCUGGGCUCAACCUGGGAAUUGCAUUGGAUACUGGCGGGCUAGAGUGCGGUAGAGGAUGGCGGAAUUCCCGGUGUAGCAGUGAAAUGCGUAGAGAUCGGGAGGAACAUCCGUGGCGAAGGCGGCCAUCUGGACCAGCACUGACGCUGAGGCACGAAAGCGUGGGGAGCAAACAGG